GCCUGGGUGGCUCAGUCGGUUGAGCGUCCGACUUCAGCUCAGGUCAUGGUCUCACAGCUUGUGAGUUCAAGCCCCGCAUCAGGCU
rfam:Felis catus isolate Cinnamon breed Abyssinian chromosome C1, whole genome shotgun sequence.